AUUUGAACUCGAGACCGGUUUUACUUCAAGUUUUCUCUUAUCACUAAAGUACUACUGUUUGAUUCGUAUUGUAAAAUAAAAUAAUCCAAAACAAUAACAAAAAAACAAAAUUUUGACUAAGAAAUAUAAAAAGAAUCACAGUUUUAAGUUUCUAUCUAUACUCUAACUAAAAGCAUGUAACCAAUAGAAUCGAAGUUUUAAGUUUCUAUCUAUAUUUUUAACUACAGUUGGAUGUUCUGAUAUUCAUUCGGGAUCGGAUCGGGUAUUUCAAAUUUUUGGUAUCUCGGUGUAGGGGUAUAGAACCCAUUCAAGUAUUUUUAUAUAUUGGUCGGAUUUGGAUAUAUAUAACUCGGGUUUGGGUAAUUCGAGUUGGAUUUGGUUAUUUAAAUUUACAUAAAAAUAUGUGGGAUAAACAUAGCUCAUGAAUCAAAACAAAAAAAUCUGAAUCAAAUAGUAAUAUGUAAAUGGUAAGAUAAAACAAUAUAAUAUUAAACAAACAAUGACAAAAUAGGUUAUUAACCAAAGAACAAGACAUCAAAUACUCAAAGAUCAAUAGUAGUGCUUCACCAAAUCAAUCUUUUUUUUAAAAAGAAUGUAUCUUCCAGUAAAAUGGAAAAGUGUGGAAAAAGUAAAGACGGAAGUACUAAAUCUUUGGUAUAUAUGGGAUUGGGUUUAGACAAAACUAUGAAAAAAAUGAGUCUAAACUAUUAAAGGUUUGGGUUAUUAUAUGUAUUUCAGAUAUUUCAGGUUUCGGGAUCGUUUUUAUCCUUGUUCAAAAAAUCAGCCGCGGAGGCGAUUACUCGACCGGUUAAACGUGAUGCGGGUGGGCUCCGUGGCGAAUUGAGUCACUUCGGUUGCAUUACGCGGUGGGCCAUGGAAUUGACGUGGACGGCGUAGAAUUAGAAAACGCGUUGCGUAAUGGUGAAGAAACUUCCUCCAAUUCAAAUGGGUUGUCGAAAGGUUGAACCCUCGUUACAGAUACAUGGUGGUUGUGUUGGUGUAGCGAGAACAAAUCAAAAGGCACGCCAAGUUCAAAGCACGCCAACUGUUCGAUGAAAUUCCUAAGAGAAGGUUCAUAUGAUUGUAAACUGUAAAGAUUAUAAUGCUUUGAUGAUCAUGAGAUGCGGAGACGUUAGUGGUGCGUUACCACAAAAUCAAGUGAAGGUGUUUGGUUCCAAAGACAUUGUUAUUAUGCUCAUGAAGCUCUUCUUUGAGAAUGGUGAAGUCAAUUUAGAACUAAACCUGAGGAAAUAUAUGAUGGAGAAAGGGUAUUGCCCUCAUGGCCACGCAUUGGAACUCUUUACCAGUGCAUAGUGUGUUUGAAGAAAACACAAUGAUACUUUUAAGUGCUCAACGCAGACAAUGGAGAGAGGAAGGUGAGUGAGUAAACCAGACUAUUGUUCAAGUUGUAUACAUAAUAUUUGACUAAAUAUUGACAAUAUUGUAGUUUGCUCCUAUAUUUAUAAAUACGUGAAUUUUAGUAUCAAUAAUGUUUUAUGCACAGGCAUCUAUUAUACAUAAAAUUUUGUAUUAUACGUAUAAAUAGAGUAUUAUACAUACAAAAAUACAAAAAAAUUUCCUCGCGUA